CUCCGAGAGGCCGCGGCAGCCCGGCCCACCCUCCGCCGGGAGGCGCCGGGAACGACGAGGAGAGGCCGCGCUUACAUGUUUGUGCCGCGCCGGCUUCACCUGCCCCGAGUUUGAUUUCGGGGUGUGGCCUCAGGUAGUUGUGAAACAGGAGAGACUACUGCAUAUAGCAGUGCAAUUUAUUCAUUGCACAAGGGUUACCAGGUUGAGAGGGUCCAUCGUUAUACUAUCACUGCCUUAAUGAGACAAGAAGUAACCAUUUGAAGGAAGCCAAAGAGAGGCUUCUUUCUCCUAAGACAAACAACAUAAACUAUAAGGAUGAGGCAAACGUGCCCACUUUAUAGUUUUAUGCUCAGGCUAAGAGAAAAUGAAGACAUCAUAGGUCCUAACUGAUCAGGUACUCCACUGAAGAGCUAAUGAAAACUGGUUAAAAUGAAUGAAAGCAUGGCAUUUGGAUUAAGAAACAAGCUGUCAAGGCAGAGAGAGCACCGGAGACAAAGAGAAGAUCAUUUGGACAGGCAAAGACCCUGAAAUCACCAGUACUUACU